CCUACCUGACUCUAGCUCGCAGGCGUUGGAGACUUAGGGGCCAAGAUGGCGACAGGAUCGGGCAGUGAGUAUUUGCGUGGAAGGCUUUUGUGGAGCGAAGCAAGGCAUAGCAUUUUUGGCACACACUAAGGAAGUGGGAGGAGUGGGAUAACUGAGAUCCUAAAGUGUUCAACGGCUUCGUGAGGGCCGGCGUUUGGGGUUUGAGACAUAAAUAUAAGCUGUUGCGUCUCAGGGAAGGAGGGAGGUUUGAGAGAAGCAGCUCAGCGAGUCUUUGUAUCAAGAGUUCUGCGGGGUAGGAGAGAAAGGCACUCUAGAAACUUGGGCGUUAAAACGAAGAGAUGUGAGCCAUAUGGUGUGGCCGGCAGCUCAGAGUCAUUCAUUUUCUGAACAAUGUGAGGCAUUCGAAGUGUGAUCACUUUAAAUCACGAGCUUUUUCUGUCACUGGGAAAUUGCGUUUCGUGAAUUUCAUUUUUAUCCGUUUCAUAGAGAAUGUUUUUAGGUCCGUCGGUUGGGGGAGGGGCUGAAAGAAGUAAACAAGUUUAUGCUAAGAGGGAGGCGGGGCAGUAGGAAGGGCGGGCGCUAGGAAUCUUGGGAAAUAAGCUCGCCUUCAAAUUGGAAUAAAGGUUUUUUUUUUUUUUUUUAAAUUAAUUAGCCCCUUGGCGUCGCUUUGGGAUUGAACCCCUCAGUGGCAUCUUACCACUGAGGUACCUCCCUAUCCCCGCUACAUUCCCCACCCCCUAACUUUUUUUUUUCCUUCUUCGGGCUGGCCUCGAAAUUGCAAUCCUCCAGCCUCAGCCUACCUAGUAGCUGGCAUUACAGGAAAACACCCCUGCACCCAGCUGGAAUAAAGUAUUCUUCAAACUGAACUUUCUAAAGAAUUACUUCAUAUUAAUCUGACUUUCCCAAUUUUUAAAAUAUAAAGCCGAGCUUAAAGUCGUGGCAUCUGAGGAGAUAAAAUGUUCUACUAUAAUUCACAUGCAAACAAUAGAUAAGGUCAAUGUAGUUAAUUGUAGUGGUGAAAAUCAAGUGUUGGUGAUUGCUUAAGAGUGCUGAGCUUGGUGGCUCAUGCCUGUAAUCCUAGCGGUUCCGGAGGCUGAGGCAGGAGAAUCACAAGUUCAAAACCAACCUAAGCAAUUUAGCAAGACCCUGUUUCAAAAUAAAAAAUAAAAGGGGCUGGGAAUGUGGUUUAGUGGUUAGGCACCCAUGGAUUCAAUCCUUGGCACCAAAAAAAAAAAAAAAGUUUCGGUGGUGCAAGCCUGUUAACCUUUGCAGCUCAGGAGUCUGAGGCAAGAGGAUUGCAAAUCUGAGGCCAGCCUCAGCAAAUUAGCCAAGACCUAAGCAACUUAGACCCUGUCUCAAAAAGGGUGUGUGUUUGUGUAGCUUAGUGAUAAAGAUCUGGGUUCAAGAAUCAAUCCUAGUUUAAAAGAAAGUUGGUGAUAGUAGCUUGUUUUGUUCCAACAAUUGGUAUAUUUUGUAUUAGGCUUUUAGUUGUUGAUUUGGUGCUUAAAACUCCUCAGAGGUUGUCUCUAAGCCUUGUUACUUUUCAGAACACAAGCUGCUGAGUACUGGCCCCACAGAGCCAUGGUCCAUCCGGGAGAAGCUGUGUUUAGCAUCUUCAGUCAUGAGGAGUGGAGAUCAAAAUUGGUAAGAUAUCUAGGAUGUCUCCGUUCUUGGGUCUUAAGAAACUUGUCCCCCCUCACACACACACACUUUGGUGGAUUCUUACAGUAAUAUCAAGCUUUAAAUAGUAUUUUUUUCCAAACAGUUUUACUAAAAUAUAUCAUAAAAUUAACCCACUUAAAAUGUAGAACUCAAUCGUUUUUUAGUAUAUUCACAGAGUUGUGCAUCCAUCACCACAGUCUAAUUUUGAACAUUUUCCUUAUCCCUACAAUAAAUCCAUUACUCCUUAGCUGUCACUGCAUUCUCUCUUCUCUCCCAAGCAACUACUUAUCUACUUACUUUUUCUACAGAUUUCAUUUCAUAUAGAAGGAAUCAUAUAACAUGUGGUCUUCUGGCACUGAUUUCUUUUCUUUCUUUCUUUUUUUUUUUUUUGAGAUUAAAAAAGGUUUAUUACUUAGAAAAAAGGUUUAUUUUUUCUUCUUGUCCCAGAAGCUGGAUUCUGCCCAUCAGCAGGAAUAGGCUUUUAAAGAGGUGAUUCAAAGGCUACAUUCCUCAUGUUCUCUGUUUCAGUUGUAAUUCACUUGUUAAUUUGGGGGAUAUUUAUUUCUGAGGUCUUUUGGUACCAUCCCCAAAGUCUCAUUACUUUGUUCCUAUGGUGGGUUUGUACUCAAGGACAGAUAACUCUGCCUAGGAAGGGGUAGAAAGGUAAUCCUGUUUCCCCAGAAAUUAGGGAGGAGCAGGGAGAGAAAGAAAGAAACAUGUCCACUUAAAAAAUAAGUUACAGUGGCAGAGCAACAAGAGCUAUAUUCAAAGCAUAAAGUAGACACUGUUACAUUUCCCCACUGUCAAUUUCUACAUUCCAUUUCUAUGGAAAGAUGGGUGAUGACAUCUCCAAAACUGUUUCCUGCUGCAAGGGGGUGAAAUUGGGGGAAGUAACCCAAAACCCUUGUUCUCUAUUAGGUGGGGUGUGGACAGUUAAGGGGUUUCAGUAUCAGAGUAGUCCAGAGGUCCACAGUUGGCAGGUGGCAGGUGACUGGACAAGGUGUACACAGGCAGGGAUCAUGAAAAUGGUCAAAGUUGUCCGACUUUCCUGAGUUCAAUUUCCUUUUUCUCAAAGUGGACCAGGAUGGAACAACCUUUAUUGUUUGGGGAGAGAAGGCAGGAGUUCCAUGAAGCAAAAGGAGUUUAGGCAGCUGUUGGGAAGCUCCUUUCUUCGGUCCCUUUACUCACAGGAGUAUCCCCCUUGUUCAACCCUAGGCAAACUCACCCAUCUCGUAACUCUCCUGCAGUUGGCUCUCAACAAGUUUGCCAGUCACCUUGCCGACUAAGCAUGGAAAUGAGGUUCGUUGGAGAACCAAGCCUGCCCAAGAAAGCUGGAGCAGGGGCUUCUUUGGGGUUCCUGGGAUGCCAAAUUUGUUACUGAAAGCUUGGUCCUUGUCUCCAGUGCCAAUCCAAUAAGGACAUGGUUUUGAGAAAAAGGGAAAAGAAGGUUUAUUGCUUUUCUAGCUAAGGAGAUUACACAAGACUCCUGUCCCAGAGGCUGUGAUUCUUGGCACUGGCUACUUAAUCAGUCAACAGUACUUUUUCAGGGUUCACCAACGUGUACUAUGUAUUAAUGCUUCAUUCUCUCUCUCUCUCUCUCUCUUUUUUUUUUAGAGAGAAUUUUUAAUAUUUAUUUUUUUUAGUUUUCGGCGGACACAACAUCUUUGUUUGUAUGUGGUGCUGAGGAUCGAACCCAGGUGCUCGCAUGCCAGGCAAGCGCGCUACCACUUGAGCCACAUCCCCAGCCCGCUGCUUCAUUCUCUUUUAAGGCCAAUAACAGUAUGAAUAUAUUAUCACCCCUUUGUAUCCAUUGGAGAUUGGUUCUAGGACUCACAGAUACUUUAAAAUUAUCUCUAAAUUACUUGUUAUCAAAUAUGAUAUAAAUAGUUGUUGUAUUGUAUUGUUUAGGGAAUGAUGACAAGAAAAAUAGUCUGUACAUGUUCAGUACAGAUGCAGUCUUUUGUUGUUUUUUUUUCUCCCCAAGUAUAUAAUUUUCAACCCAUGGCUGAUUGAAUCCAAGAAUGCAGACCCUGGAUAUAGAGAGUUGGCUUCUUAUUCAACACUUUAGGAUCAUUUGGAUGGUUCCUCCAAUUUAGGGCUAAUAUGAGUAAUGCUGUUAUAAACAUUUGUGUACAAAGUUUUAUGUGAACAGUAUUUCAAUUCUCAAGUUUUCUACCCCAGUAGUGGAAUCUCUGCAUCAUAUGGUAAUUAUAUGUUUAACUUUGAAGAGCUGCCAAACUUGUUCUUUUCUCCUGUUCAGUGUUUUUCUCCAAUAUGAGGGAUUGAACCCAGGGCUUCAAUCAUGCUAGGUGAGUGCUGUACCACUGAGCUACAUCCCCAGCCCUUUGAAAAUUUUUAUUUUAAGACAGAGUCUGACUAAGUUGCUUAGGCUGGCCUGGAACUUGUGAUCUUCUUGCUUUAGCCUCCAGAGUAACUAGAACUGUAGGUAGCCACCUACAGUGCAUACACCUGUAGGUGUAUGCCACCAUGCUGAACUGAAUACGAAUUCUAUUAAAGUUCCUGGCAAGAAAAAAAAAAAAUGACACAAACUGAACAAGUAGAAUUUUUAUCAAAACUAAGCAUGAAAGCUGGGCAUGGUCUACAUAACUAUGAUCCCAGCAACUUGAUAAACAGGAGGAUUGCAAGUUCAAGGCCAGCAUUGGCAACUUAGUGAUACUUUGGCUCAAAAUUUAAAAAAAAAUAAGAAAAGCCUGAGGAUGUAGUUGAAUGGCAGAGUGCCCCUGAGAUAAGAAAAAAGAUAGCAAAACAUGAUUGUGCUAAUUUUAACCAAAAGCUGAACUCUGUGGUCAGUAAAAUCCAAUUAUAUGGAAUAACUAUGGUGUAUGUACUCCCCUUUAUGCCUCUUGAUUGACAGACUUAAGUCAAACAGACAGACUUCAUUUGUUCUGUUUUCAAUUUGGACUUUCAAUUGUGACUUUCUUUUUUCUAAUUCCAGCAAAAGUUGUUUGAAACCAGAUAUAUAGUUCUUGGAAAUUUCCCUAGUGCCUCAGCAGAAUGGCAUCUUCCCAAGAAAAAAUGUUUAUUCUUUUUGACACCUAGUCUCUAAGAAAGGAAUCCUGGGCUAGGUCUGCUUUUUGCCAGAUAGUCCAGUUGCAUGUAGUUGCUCUGUAAUCUUGGCCAUUGUUCAGAACUGUCAUCGUCUUGUCUUUCUCUUGUAUCAAUUUUUUUUUUCUUGUUUGUUUAAUUGCAUUUCUGGGGAUUGAACUCAAGGCCUCGUGCAUGCUAAGUAAGCAGUCUACCACUGAGCUUCAUCCCCAGCCAUGUGUCAAAAAUAAAAAGGGCUAAAGAUGGUAGCUCAGUGGUAAAAUCCCCUUGGGCUCUAUCACAAGCACCAAGGAAAGAAAGGGAGGGAGGCAGGCAGGCAGGCAAGUUUAAUCUGAAAAAGGAAUAAAUGAGGUGUGACUAUCUGCCUUAAAUGUCUCAAUUUAGGAAAUUGGAGGAACAGUACAUAGACCAUAAUUCUGUCCCAAUUAACUGGACUUAAUUGAACAAUUUAAGGAAAAAAAUGAGCUAUAAAAGAGGGGGAGAGUGAAAAAUCCCUCCUAGCUAAGAUACUUCUUUCCAGGCUUUAUAAUAUUGGGAUCUACCAGGUAUCAGGGAGGUGUGGGGGCUUGCUGCAGAAAUUGGUUCUUUUUCAUGUUCCUACCAUAUGGGUUGGGACAUAAUGCAGGCUGCAUCCUGUUUGGUGUUUCCCAGUAGACAGGUUAAGGGAUUGUUGACCAAGACAGCACUGUAUUCUUUGUAUUCACUCCAAAGGCUUUUUCUAUUUGCACCCAGGGUUGUGGAGAAAGAGCCAUCCUCACCAACCAAGCUUUGACAUUUUGUGAACUAGCAGGGUAGAUAUAUACUCACUCCUGAGUCCCUCAGUCUGUGCACCACGGGGCAGGGCAGACAUCCACACCUUGUUGUAUUCCCCAAUGCCUCAGAGAGUUGGAGGAAGCAAUCAAACCUCUGAAUUGUGUGCUGGAGAUGGGGGUGCUAGUUGUGAGUACCAAGCAAUUUUAUUCUCAGUCUUAGAGCUUUCAAACCUGGAUGCUGUGCAAAACCACAUGGGAUUGGUCUCUCUCCUUGUCCUAGAGAGCAGGACCAUGAGAUGAUUAGCCCUUUGGUCCCCUCACCAUGAUCCGUAUUGCUCAGCCGGGUUUGUGACAGACAUUCCCUUUCCAUGAAUGUCUCCUGGCUAUUUCCCACCCAGUUGUGUUGGGCCCAAAUAGUGAUGCAUGUUUUCUGAUCCCCAGAGCAGGUUAGUCCUUAACAGUAGAAUCCUUGUAAAGUUAUUGUGUUGUGCAGGAGUAAUCACUUUCAGACCAAAUCUCAAACUGGAUUUAAAGCUUGCAAAAACUGGGCUUUGCUGGGUAUGGUAGCGCAUGUCUAUAAUCCUGGUGGUUCAGGUGGUGGAGGCAAGAGGAUUGCAAGUUCAAAGCCAUUCUCAGCUUAGUGAGGCCCUAAACAACUUAGACCCCAUCUCAAAAUUAAAAAAAAAAAAAAAAAAAGGACUGGGAAUGUGGCUAAGUUAAGUGCCCCUGGAUUCAGUCCCUGGUACCAAACAAACAAAAAGGAUGGGUUUCUCCCACUGUUUUCUUCAGAGUUAUCUGCACUCUUUGGCUUACCUUAGCUUGCAGAGUUGGGUUUAUUUCCCCAGUUAGGGGCCUGGGUUGAAGUUGGAAAUUGCUUUCUGCUUUUCUCUGAGUUGCCUCUCCAGUUUUGUGUGCUAUUCAGGUUUCCCUUCACUUCUUUAUUCCCAGAAUUCUUCUCUUUCUAAAACAGUUUCCUUUUUGUACUGACUAUUCUUACUCAGAGUUGCUAGAAUGGUACUUCUCUUUCUUUGUCUUGUUGAAGACCAUCUUUACUGACCACAGUUCAGAUUGACUUAAGGUUGUUUUGAUGAUGAUUUAUGUCUUUUGUGUGUGAUGCUGGGAUUGUGUCUUUUUUUUUUUUUUUUUUCCUCCUCGUUCUUGCCAGGAUUUCAUUUGAAUUGAUGUUAGGGGUAUAGCUCAGUGGUAGGUUGGGGGGUGGGGCUUGUAGCUCUGUGGCAGAAUACAAUAGAGACAGACCUUGAGUUCAGUUCCUGGCACCCAAGAGGAAAGAAUUAAUGUUCAGUUGGAUUAAUAUUUUGGGGGGGGGGGGGGCAGUGAUAGGUAUUGAACCUAGAGCCUCUGCAUAUAGUAAACAGGUGUUUUACCACUGAUGCACAUGCACAGCUUCCCCCGUCUUUUAACUUUUCUUCUUGGUGUGGUGUUUUCGUUUUGCAUUACUGGGAAUAGAAUCCAGGGUGUGUCGUGUGCAAAGCAAACACUUUACAUUAAACUACAUUAUAAGGUUUUGUUUGUUUGUGGGUUUGUUUGUUUUGAGACAGGGUCUUGCUAAGUUGCCCAGACAAGCUUCAAACUUAUAAUUUGAUUCCUACCUCAGCCCCGGAGUAGCUGUGUUUACAGGUAUGUGCCACCAAGCCUACUGAGCAAAUUUUUAAUGGUGUAAUUGAUUUGUGGUAAAUUACACCUACUUGAAGUAUAAGCCCAUGGUAUUUAUAACAUAUGGAUACGUCUAUGAAACUCUUCACAAUCAAGAUAAUUUUGACAGUGUUCAUUAGUGGUGAACAGGUGAAGAAAAUUAUGGUGUAUAAAUAUGCAAAGGAAUAUCAUUGUUAUAAAAAAAAGAAAGAAGGGAACCCUGACAUUUGUGAUAACAUGGAUAAACCAGGAAGGCAUCAUGUUAAGUCAAAAAAGUCAGGCCCAGAGACAAAUACUGCAUGAUCUUACUCAUGUAGAAUCUAAGAAGGGUAAUCUCAGAAUUAGAGAUGGUGGUUACUGGUGGCUGGAGUGGUUGAGGGUAUGGUUAGGUGGAGUGAGUUUAGAGAGUCGGUCAAAGGAUACAAAUUUUGAGUUAUACAAGGAAUAAGUUCUGAUCUGUUGUAGAGUAUAGUGACUAUAGUCCACCACCACCACCACUACUAGAGGCAUAGACAGAGGUUUAUUUUGGAAAGUAGAGGCGUAUUCAAGAAACAGUGUGGGCCAUCUCCUCAGGAAGAAAUAGUAGCCAGUUGAUGGGUAUUAAUAUUUAUAGAGGGACAGUUGCAGUUGCUAGGGUCUGGACUAGAGUUAGAGUUGGGGUAGAAUUGCACAAUUUGGUGUCAGUUUUUCCAGCGCUUGCACAUUAACCUUAUAUUACUUUUUUGCAGGAAGGGGUCAAGAGUAUGGGUCGGGCUGCUCUGGAAUAUGUUUUGCAUUUCAAAGAUUUGUGGGCAUUUAUUGCAUUCCAGUGGCUCAUGGGCUACUCUUUUAAGGCUCAAAGUUUAUCUUUCUUUUUGUGUAUCCCCAAGUUUCCAUAUGAUUCUCCACUUCUACCGUGCAAACUUGGGACCCCUUAAGGGUUGAUGAGGGCCAUUCUCUAGAGAACCUUUGGGUAAAGCAAGGAAUAUACAUUCAAGGGAGAAUGUGGGCCACAUCUCAGAGAGAAACAGUCACGUGCUGCUUAUAUUUAUUAACAAUAUUGUAUUCUCAAGAAAUGCUAAGAGUACAUAUGUUCUCACUUCAAAAAUAACUACAUGAACCAGGCAGCCUGUAAUCCCAGCAGCCUGGGAGAUUGAGGCAGGACGAUUGCAAGUCCAAAGCCAACCUCAACAAUUUAGCAAUGUCCUAAACAACUUAGCAAGAUCUUGUCUUAAAAGAAUUUUAAAAAGGGUUGGGGAUGUAGCUCAGUGAUUGAGCGCCCCUGGAUUCAAUCCCUAGUACCAAAUAAAUAAAUAAAACAGAGGGCUAGGAAUGUAGUUCUGUAGAGGAGCACUUACCUAGCAUGUACGAGGCCCUCAGUUCACUCCCUAUCGCCACAAAAACAAACUGGUUUUGAAAUAAAAUCCAAUUUGUACAUUUCCUCAUAUUUUCGUAAGAAAAAUAGUAUAUAGGCUGGGGUUGUGUCUCAGUGGUAAAGCACUUGCUUAGUAUGUGUGAGGCACUGGGUUUGAUCUUCAGCACCACAUAUAAAUAAAUAAAGGUCCAUUGACAGCUAAAAAAUACUUUAAAAAGAAAAAUAGUACAGGAACACUAUGUUUAUGACUUUUUAUAAAUCAAAGUAGUGCACGUUAUCAGUGUCUUUGCAUUAUUGUCUUUCAUCUAUCAGUGUCAGUUUCUAGUCUCUCAGCAUUAAUUUUAAUUUUGUAUACCAUAUUUUCUUUAGACCUCUUUCUUCCUCUGAGUGUAUGUGUGUUAGUGGGAGCUGAACCCAUGGUUGUUUUGCUGCUGAGCUAUAUUCCCAGCCCCAUUUUUAGUUUUUUUUUUUUUUUUAAAUUUUAGUUGUAGAUGGACACAACACCUUUAUUUAUUUGUUUGUUUGUUUGUUUUUAUGUGGUGCUGAGAAUCGAACCCAGUGCCUCACACAUGCUAGGCGAGCACUCUACCACUGAGCCCCAACCCCACCAUUUUUAGUUUUUUUGAGACUGUGCUUUGUUAAGUUGCUGAGGCUGACCUGGAACUUGUGAUCUUUCUGCCUCAGCUUCCCAAGUUGUUGGGAUUACAGGCAUAUAACACUACACCUGACUAGACCACACACAUACUCCUUUGGUGGGGUGGCGGUGUAUAUAUGGGGCCUGUAUAUGCUAGAAAAGUGCUGUAUCACUGAGCUGCAUUUCCAUCCCUAAACAUACUGUUCUUGACCUUCUACUACUUCUCUUAGUACUUGAUCUUGGAGGAUAUAGUAUAUCUUCAUUUGAAGAUCUGUCUCAUUCCUGCCUUUUUUUUUUUUUUUUUUGGUGGUACUGGGGAUUGAACCCAGGGCCUUGUGCAUGCUUAGGCAAACACUCUACUAACUGAGCUAUAACCCCAGCUCCCUCAUUCCUGCCUAUCUUUUUAUGGGGGUUGGCUAGUACAGGUGAUUGAACCCAGGGGUGCUUUACCACUGAGCUACAUCCCCAGCCCUUUUUUUUUUUCUGGUGGAUACAACAUCUUUAUUUUUAUGUGGUGGUGAGGAUUGAACCCAGCGCCCCAUGCAUUCCAGGUGAGCACAUUACCGCUUGAGCCACAUCCUCAGCCCUUUUGAUUUUUUAUUUUCAGACAGGGUCUCAAUACAUUGCCAGGGGUUCCGCUAAGGUUGCUGAGGUUGGCCUUGAACUUCCAAACCUCCUUUCUUGGCCUCCUUAGUCACCGGGAUUACAGGCAUGUGCUAUCAUACCUGGCCCCUAUUUUGAGGUUGGGGGCAAUACUGGGGAUUAAAUUCAGGGGCACUAGACCAUUGAGGCACAUCUUCAGCCUUAUUUUGUAUUUUAUUUAGAGACAGGGUCUCACUGAGUUGCUUAGCGCCUCACUUUUGCUGAGGCUGGCUUUGAACUUUGUAUCUUCCUGCCUCAUCCUCCCAAUGUGCUGGGAUUAUAGGUGUGUGCCACCACACCCAGCCCAUUUAUUUAUUUCUUAACAGCUGCAUGGUAUGUUUUAUGACUACAAUGUGAAAUAGUGGCAUGAAAUAAUAUAAAACAUUGUUUAGCAAAACCUUACGUGUACAUUUGCUGCAUAUUAUGUGGGUGAAUAUUUGCUAAUAUAUAACUUUGGUUAUAUGUAGAUUAUAUCUUAUACCUACAAGAUAAGCUGAAAGUAGAAUUGCUAGGUCAAAGAGUAUAUGAAUUUAUAAUAUUUGGUAAAAAGUUCAAAUUGCCUUGCUCAAAGAUUUUUCAGUUUGCACUCCCAGUGCCUGUUUUUUAUUUUCUGCCCUGUCUCGUAGAAUGUAUUUUCCCAUGCUUUUGAUCCUUGACAGUAUUAUAAAAGGUGAGAAUGUCAUAUUUUUGAUUUGCAUUUAUCUUAGGUGUGAAAUUAAUUGCCUUUAUAUGUUAAAAAGUCACUUGUAUUUCCUUUACUGCAAAUCAUUUUCCCAGUUGUCUUUUUUAUUAUUAGUACUGCCUUUAAUUGGGGAACUGGGAGGGUUCCAUCUAAAUUAGGGAGAUAAGCUGCUGAGAGCCACAGCCUAGUCGGAAUGAUGCAUGGCAUUUUUGCCAGAAGGGAGUGGUUGAGAGGUGUCCGCCUCAUGGCUGGGCACAAAAUAACCACUUGUAGGUUUUAUUACCCGAACUCCCUCGGGGCCACCCAGGCCACCCACUUGGCCCUUCCAGGAAUACCACCAAUCAGAAAUCCCUCCUCCGGAACUUCCCCAACCAAUGAGAACUCCAAAGUAGCGGGACAGCAGGGGUCUAAUAUACAAUUGAAUACACAGCUUAACAUAACCAUCAUCAUCUCAAUGGCUAGCUGGUCACCUCAGCAAUAAGCUAUUUGCCUGAUCAAUGAGAUACAUUUUUUUGUUCUAUUUUUGCUAUCAGAUGCCAAUUAACUUAUUUUAGUAUUUUUACCUUGUUCCCCCCCACCACCUUUUGGUGUUUUCUUUUUUGAGACAGAGUCUUGUUAAGUUUCCCAGGCUGGCCUCCAGCUUGCAAUCCACCUGCCUCAGCCUCCUGAGUAGCAUACACCACCUUACUCAGCUAAGACUUUUAAAAUAUAGUGUAUUAAGAUUUUUCUUUUAUGGUUCUCGGCUUUUGCAUCAUGAUUAGAAAGGUCUUCUUUGUGAGAUUAUAAAGAAAUUGUGUUCUUCUAGUUCUUGCAUGAUUACUUGGAUCUACUUGGGAGUUUUUCUGCUUAUGAGAUAUGAGGCCUGGAUCAAACUUUCUUUAUUUUUUUUUUGCCUUUGGUACUGGGUAUUGAACCCGUGGGUACUUUACCACUGAGCUAAAUUUCCCAGCCCUUUUUAUUUUUUAUUUUGAGAUAGGGUCUCAUUAAGCUACUCAGGCUAGUCUCACACUUGUGAUCCUCCUGCCUUAACCAGCAAGAGUAGGUAGGAUUACAAAAGUGUGCCACUGUGCUUGGCUUAUUAAACUUUUUCCUGAUAGGUCGUCAUAUAACCAUUAUGCCAACACAAAAUUUAAAAACUUUUUUCUGCAGCUGGGAAUGUAGCUCACAGGCAGAGUAUGUGCUUAGUAUGCUUUUGGACUUUAAUUCAAUCUCCAGUACCACAAAAUAAGCACCAAAAAUAAAUAGUGGGCUGGAGUUGUGGCUUAGUGGUAGAACUCUUGCCUAGCAUGUGUGAGGCACUGGGUUUGAUUCCCAACACCACAUAAAAAUAAACAAGUAAAGGUAUUGUGUCCAUCUACAAAAUAUAUAUAUAUAUAUUUUUUUUAAAACUAAGUAAAUAGAGACUUUUUUUAAGAUUGUGAAGUAUUUUAAACCCAUAGAGAAGGGUAGAGAAUAAUAUAUAGUACAGUCCUUUUAUACCCUUUGUUGAUCCUAUUUCACUCUAUUUUCAUUUUUGCUUGUUUUCUUUUUUUGUGUUUAUACUUCCAUCAUUUUGGAAACUUGGUUGGCUUUGUUUUGUUGAGGAGGCGGUGGUGGAGAGUCUUUAUUUAUGGUCCUAGGGAUUGGACUCUUGUGUUCUAGGGAAGUGUGUUACCACUUGAACUAUAUCCCCAAUCCAAGGCAGUUCUCUUUUAAAAGAAGCAAACAACCAAAUCAACAUAAAAAUGUUUUUCCAAGUGAAAAAAAUUUUUACUAUCUUUACUUCAUCUAGUAAAUAGUAUAUCACCCAGGAAAACGGUUCAGCAAUGACUUUUUUUUUUUUUUUGGUACCAGGGAUUGAACCCAGGGGUAUACCACUGGGUCACACCCAGCCCUUUUUAUUUUGAGACAGGGUCACACUGAGUUGCUUAGGGCCUUGCUGAGCUGCUGAGGCUAGCUUUGAACUUGCAGUCCUCCUGCCUCAGCCUCCCAAGUCACUAUGAUUACAGGCAUGCGCCGCCAUGCUCAGAAGCAAUGACUGUCUUUAAAUGGUUUUAUUUUUUUCAAGGGGUUGGGAGAUAAUGAGGAUUAAACCCAGGACCUUGAACAUGCUAGGCAAGCUGUCUUGCUGAGCUACACCCCUUUAUUUUUACUUCGAGACAGGGUCCUGUGGAGUUGUCCAGACCAGCUUUGAAUUUGUGAUUCUCCUGCCUUGAUCUCUUGAGUGACUGGAAUUAUAAGCAUAUGCCACCAGGUCCAUUUCUCUAAAUUUUUUUUUUUAAAGGUCACAAUUUGAUUCUAUUUGAGAUUCUGCUGAGCUUCAGACUUGAGCAGACUUUAUAGUCUCUCUCUUUUUUUUUUUUUAGAGAGAAUUUUAAUAUUUAUUUAUUUAUUUUUAGUUUUCAGUAGACACAAUAUCUUUGUUUGUAUGUGGUGCUGAGGAUCUAACCCCGGCAACACGCAUGCCAGGCGAGAGCGCUACCGCUUGAGCCACAUUCCCAGCCCCUCUCUAAAUUUUUUUUAGGUAGUUGUGUCAUUUUUCAUAGUCAGAUAUUCUGUGACUGGGGGUAUAUAGCUCUGUAAUAGAAUCCUGGGUUCAAUAAUAGUAAUUUAAAAAAAAAAGAUAUUCCAGAAUAUUUCCCAUUUGGCAGUUUUUAUUCUAAAUUUUGAAACUACAAACCUUGAACUCAACCAACUACCUCUCCCGUUUUUUUUUUUUUUUUUCUGUUUGGUGUGUAAUGAGACUUCUCUUACUUCGUAGGGUAUCAGUUAGCAGAGCCAUCAAGCCCUUUGCAGAACCUGGCCGCCCUCCAGACUGGUUCUCUCAAAAAGUAAGUUACUAAAUAGGUGCUUUAUUAUAGUCAUUGGGAUUUAAAGUAGGGCUCUCUACCAAGUUCUGCCUUAUAAUUACAAAGCUUUUAUACCAUGAAAUGAGAAAAUAGUUAAAUGCUUUUCUUUCCUCCCACUUUUCUAAUCUGUGUAUGCUCAUUCUUAUAAAAUCUUCUUGUCAGUGUUGUAUAACAGUUAAGAGCCCAAUUUUGGGUGUUAGACAGAUUUGGGUUCUGUAUGAUUCCAUCUAAAAACUUUAGACCAUGAUCCUCAGUUCUCUUGUUUAUGAAAUAGACAUAAAAAUUGCUUCGGUAAUGUUGUAAAGUAAUUGAGCUGAUACAUGUAAAACACUUUAGUAGAAUACUUUGCAUAUGGUAAUUACUCUGUGUUAUUAUAAAUAUUGGCUAGUGGGUUGGCUUUCCCCAAAGACACCCGAGGACAGAAGACUUCUUUUUCUUUCGUGGUAUUAAUUAUUUUGAACUGAUUGGAUUGCAAAGUAAUUUGUCCUAUAAACUGUACACACUGCUGGGUCCUGUGAUGUAUGCAAAAGAAAAGCAAAAGAAACCACAUACAUCUUAAACAUAGCUCUCUUUUCUAAACUUUGCUUAAAUUUGUUGAAACUUGAAAAGCUUAUUCGUUUCCAGGAUUGCUCAUCACGUUUUUACUUUUUUCCAUAGCAUUGUGCUUCUCAGUACUCAGAGCUCCUAGAAACCACUGAGACCCCAAAGUGAGUAUAAAGCCAGAUAUUUCAGGCAGAUCCCUUUAGUGGCAAGUGUUUACUGUGGAAAUCUAGUUUAUACCUAUUUGGGGAUGAUAAAAGUAUUGCAGAGGGAUGGGGUUAUGGCUCAGUGGUAGAGUGCUUGCCUAGCAUGAGUGAGGCACUAGAUUUGAUCCUCAGUACCACAUAAAAAUAAAAGAUAUUGUGUUCACCUAAAACUAAAAAAUAAAUUUAUGAUUAAGUAGUAGAGAAGUCUUGAAGAAAACAAGUGGGAGUGGAAACAAAUGUCCUCUUAAUAAGAUGAAUUUUUCCCCUCACAGACGCAAAAGAGGUGAAAAGGGAGAAGUAGUAGAAACUGUGGAAGAUGUGAUUGUUCGGAAACUGACUGCUGAAAGAGUGGAGGAACUGAAAAAAGUGAUAAAGGAAACCCAGGAGAGAUAUAGGUACUCAACUCAUCAGAGCACAUAUCAAAUGGUUUGGAAAGACAAAGGGGACUAAUUUCUUGUACUGGUCAGAAUUUUUAAAAUAGAUUAUUUUUAAAAGAUACCAGAAUGGACUGGGAAUAUAGCUCAGUUGUAGAGUGCUUUCCUAGGUCCUGGGUUAAAUCACUAGCACCAUAAAAAACAGUUGAGCUAGGUGUGGUGGUGCAUUCCCAGCAAUUUAGGAGGCAGGCAGGAGAAUUGCUCGUUCAAAACCAAUCUAAGCAAUUUAGUGAGACUCUGUCUGAAAAUUUUAAAAAGGGCUGGAGAAUUGGCUCAUUGGUAAAACACCUCUGGGUUCAAUCCCUAGUACCAAAACUAAAACUAAAAUAAAAUAAAUAAAAAACCAGUUGUCAAUUUGAAGGUUGAGGUGGAACAAUCACUUAAGCCCACAAGUUUGGGACCAACCUGGGCAACAUAGCAAAACCCUGUUUCAAAAAGAUUAUCAUUCUGUCUGCUUUUUCUUCCUAUAGACGGCUGAAAAGAGAUGCAGAACUAAUUCAAGCAGGGCACAUGGACAGCAGACUGGAUGAGCUUUGCAAUGACAUUGCCAUGUGGGUUAUAAUCUUCCAUCUGUGCUCCUUUCUGUCUCACCUCUUUCCUUCCCAAGUAAUCUAUCUUCUUUCCUCCUCCUGCCAUCCCUUUUGACUUGAGACAGAUUCUAGGAAAGCAAUAGCACUGGUUUGGUGUGUGGGAGUGGGGAAUGAGGCCUUAGAGGGUUAUAGAAUAUUUCAAUAUGAGAACAUAUUAAUUCUAACUUAAAAGGUCUCUGUUUUGCCUGGGUGAAGAACUGAGAGUUAGUAUACCCCAAUUCCCUGUUUUGAUGAUUAGAUUCCCUGCUUUCAGAAACAGCAGAUAUUGGGGGGGGGGGGUAUAAAAAGGGCUGGGGUUGUGGCUCAGUGGUAGAGUGCUUGCCUAGCAUGUGCAAGGCAGUGGGUUCGAUCCCUGGCACCACAUAAAAAUAAAAACAAAUAAGAUAAAGGUAUAAAAAUAAAUAAAUAAAUAAAUAAAUUCUCCAUGAGGGCUCAAUGAACUAUGGGAAGGAACUAGAUAUCUGGCUACCAUCUAACCUUUAAUUCCCUCUUUAGGAAAAAAAAAUUAGAGGAAGAGGAGGCUGAGGUGAAGAGAAAGGCUACAGAUGCUGCAUACCAGGGUAAGCUGAACUUAGUGCUUCUGCUUAACGGUUAAUUAUACUUACUGCAUGCUAUGAUAGACUACUUUGUAAAUUUAGUAGUUCAAAUUUACAUGCAUAUUUCUCUCUUGUCAUCUUCUUUCUCUCUCUUUUUUACAUUGUACCCUUUUGGGGGUUGGGGUGGGGUUGGUGCUAGUGCUAGGGACUGAACCCAGGGUCUUGUGCAUGUUCCAUAUUUUAUUGAGUCAAUCUCUUAAGUCCUGGGAGUAGGUCAGUUUAGUUCUGUGUCAUUUCAGGAUUUAGUGUUACAGGUGUGCUCCCAUCAAGGUUAGGCAUCCAUAUGGUGCAAACUAAUAGACUUUUAAUAAGCUGCAUUUCCAUUACACUGGAAAAUCAGAAACAUGUACUUUUCUGAAUUUUUUCCAUCCUUUCUAUAUACCUUAUUAUUAUCAUUUUCGUCAUGUCCCAUAAAAUCUUAGGUGUAACCUCUGGAGGAAGCAGAAUGUUUUGGUAUCCUGGCUGGCUUGCCAAAAUUUUCCCUCUCCUCUCUGAAGUUUCAAUAAUUUGAGUCUGUGGGUCAAACUGACAUACAUAGAUUAAUAAGAGGAAAACCAUACCAAUUUAUUACAUUCAUAUGCACAAGAGACUCACAAAACAUGACUCCUGGGCUGAGGAUGUACCUCAGUGAUACAGUGCUUGCUUCGCAUAUGAAGUCCUGGGUUCAGUCCUUAGCACUGCCAUAACAAAAGAUUCAUGUUACCAGAAUAAAAAUAAUUCUUCAUGUCCAGGAAGAAACAAGAAAAUGAGCUCUGCUCAGAUGUCCGCAUGUCUCAAAUUUACUUUUCUCUCAAAUUUACUUUUAGGACAUAAAGUCUUUUUAAUAAUACCUUGAACAUAAUUGAGGUUUUAGAAAUACAACGCCCGUGAAAAGAUUGAGAAUAAUUUAGUUAUUAGAUAAUGAAACAAUUUAAGCAUUUGCAAUUCUGGGAAUACAUGCUGUGAACCAGUGAUGUCUUUCCCUCUAGUUAUUUAUGUGUUUAUUUAUUUAUGCAGCACUAGGGAUUUGAACAAAGGGUUACUUCACUACUGAACUACAUCCCCAGCACUUUUUUUAUUUUGAGACAGGGCCUCACUAAGUUACCUAGGCUGACCUCAAACUUGUGAUCCUCCUGCCUCAGCCUCCUAAAUCACUGAGAUUAUAGUUGAGUACCACUGUGUCUGGCCUUUCCCUUUUUUUAAAAGCAGAAUCUUGAGCUGGUGACGUAGUUCUGUGACAGAGUGCCUUGCAUGUACUAUGCCCUGGGUUUGAUCCCUGGCAUCAAAAAAUAAAAGCAGAGUCAUGUUACUAAAGAAGAUGUUGAGGAGUAUGUAAACUGUUUUCCCACUCCUUGGAAACUUAAAUAGUUAAGAGUUUACUUAGUGUGAGAAUUGCAGUUAGGAAAAAUUAGGCUAAAAAAUUACUCCUCUCUAGUGUUAAAGUAAGUUUUUAAUCCACAUUCAUAAUUUAAUAAUGCAGCAUUCCUAUUUGACCUUUGUUGUACAUCAGUGGAGUAGUGUCUAGCUUCACUUAUUUAGUACUGAAGAUUUGGACUUUGUUUUAAUGUUCUAGCUCGACAAGCAGUGAAAACACCCCCUCGGAGGUUACCCACUGUGAUGGUCCGCUCUCCUAUAGAUUCAGCCUCCCCAGGAGGUGAUUAUCCACUUGGGGACUUGACUUCAACCACUAUGGAAGAGGCCACCUCUGGGGUGAGUGUUAUUUCCAUCCAUUGGAAUUGAUCAGUGAAGGGUGCAAUAAGCCAGCAGAGAGCUGAGUGAUGAGGAAACCACUUUUGACCUAGGAGCAACUUCUUGGUCUGAACACUAAAGACUAUAAUUUACCAUGUUCUGUGCUCGAAGAUAAGGACGGACCUAAAAGCACUGAGGCUUUUGACCUUUUUGAGAGAUAGGGAAAAGACUGCAUUCAGGAAUUCUUUGCUGUGUAUCUUAGUCCUAUGAAAUUCCUGCUGAAAUAAGAGACAAUUCCUUGUAAAUAUAAUACUGGUAGGGGGUGAGGAGUUUGUAAAUGGCAGAUUGGAUGGAAUGGUUGGGUCAUCAUGGGUUUGAGUCAGUAGAAGAGAAAAUAACAUGGGGAAGAAAAGUAUAGCUAAGAUUAGGGGGUAGAGGGUUCUGGGCAUUUCCACUCAGAACUAAUAAAACCAUACUAACCCAUCCAGAUUAGUAGGGAGCCUUCCAUAGUUUGAGAAGUCAGAUAAAGGUUCUCUGUUGUCUCUUAGGUAACCCCUGGGACUUUGCCGAGUACCCCAGUCACCUCGUUUCCUGGGAUUCCUGACACCCUUCCUCCAGGCUCUGCACCCUUAGAAGCCCCCAUGACCCCAGUAACAGAUGAUUCACCCCAGAAAAAGAUGCUUGGACAGAAAGCAACUCCACCCCCCUCCCCUCUGCUGUCAGAGCUCUUGAAGAAGGGCAGCCUCCUGCCUACUAGCCCCAGACUGGUAUGGAGACUUCUGUGGGUGUUUGAGAGCUGUGGUGAUUUUAGUACUUGGAAGGGAAUGCCUGGGACCUAAAAUGUGACAUGGACAAAAAAGUUCAAAGGAGGAAGAGAUGUCUUAGUUAAAUGUUAAUUUAAAACAAUAAGUUGAUAGUAUCCUUGGGUCCUGAGAUAUCUGAGCCACAAUUAUUUUGGUUUUCUUCCCAAAGAACUCUUGACAAAUAAGUUCUGAACAUUAGAGUUUCCCUUGGGUUUGAAUUACUCUCUGUGGAUAGUAAGUUUUAGUUUUCAAGAAGUUUGGUUGACAGAGUUUUGGGGGGAAGUGGUAGUAAAGGAAAGCUUGAGUGUAGCCUUCACCUCUAUUCUUCCCUGGUAGGUCAGUGAGAGUGAAAUGGCUGUUACUUCUGGCCAUCUGAACAGUACAGGUGUCCUCCUGGAGGUAGGCGGGGUCCUUCCCAUGAUACAUGGUGGGGAGAUACAGCAAACACCCAAUACUGUUGCAGCUUCCCCUGCUGCCUCAGGUAAGUCAUCACUCUUCCUUUGUCUACUUCAGAGAUGGUUUCAUUAUUAUUAAGGAAUUGUUAAUCCAUAACUACUUUUUUUUCUAACUUUGUUUUGGAGCUGCUUUAGCUGUUAAAACACAUAGUGCUUGAAGGGCUGGGGUUUUAGCUCAGUGGUAGAGUGCUUGCCUAGCAUGUGUGAGGCACUGGGUUUGAUUCUCAGCACUGCAUAUAAACAAACAAACAAAAAAAUAAAGGUCCAUUGACAACUUAAAAAAACAAACAGUGGCUUGAAAUUAUUAAUCCAUUCCAUCUUCAAAUUGUUGACAUCCCUGAAACUACAGCAUAGCUAUUGAUGAGAGGAACUUGAAGUUAAUAGUGAAGCUGCUUCUCUGUGGCUUGUAAAAUUGUGUAAAGGUGCUGGAGAUACCUAAGAUAAUAGAAUAUGGGAAAGAGAUUUGGCUUGAAUCUCAGGCCUGCUACGCAUUGGGUUUGUAAUCUGAUAGGUGACUUAACUACUGAGGCUCAAUUUUCUGUUUUAUUAAUUGUGAUAUAUAUGCUAUUCAUUGAUAUAGUGAGAAUUAAAUGAGAUAAACAAAAUAAAGCAAAAAAAUGCUUUACAAAAUACCUUAUAAACAUUAGAUAUUGGUAUUUGAAUCAUGUUGAAGUUGGGUAGUGUAUAGCAUGUUGAAUCUCAACAGAAAUGAUAUUUAUUCAGACCAGUUUUUUUAUUCUUGGUGAUUAUUUAAUUUUCCUCUGAGGAAAGGUACCACCCAUUUUUCUUAUGUUGUGUAUUCUAGUACUUUGGUUUAUUCCUAAUUUAGAAUUUUGGUUCAUUCCUAACUUGGAAAAAGUAAGGUUAGAGAAAAUAAAACUAUAGAUCAACAUAGGAGUUGCUUUCAUUCUUUGAGACCAUAAAUUUUUUCUUGGUUGAAUCUUAGAGUGGCUAUUGCUUCUUGUUGGUGUGCUUUCUUCUUACCUCAUUUUGUAUACCUCUUUGUUAGGUGCUCCCACUCUUUCCCGGCUUUUAGAAGCUGGUCCUACACAGUUCACCACACCUCUUGCUUCCUUCACUACUGUUGCCAGUGAACCUCCAGUUAAACUUGUGCCACCCCCUGUAGAGUCUGUGUCCCAGGCUACCAUUGUCAUGAUGCCUGCGCUGCCAGCACCAUCCUCUGCUCCGGCUGUCUCCACUCCUGAAAGUGUAGCUCCAGGUGCGUCUUGACCCACGCCCUGAGCAGCCACUAGGACCAAAAUUUCAUUUUGAGCUUCAGUUAAGGAAAGAUAACCAAGAACAUUAACUCUAAU
rnacentral:lncRNA from 1 species